AUUGAACGCUGGCGGCAGGCCUAACACAUGCAAGUCGAACGAGUGGCGGACGGGUGAGCUAUGUCUGGGAAACUGCAUGAUGGAGGGGGAUAACUAAUGGAAACGGUAGCUGAUAACGCAUACCAUCGGAUGUGCCUAGAUGGGAUUAGAUAGUAGGUGGGGUAAAGGCUCACCUAGGCGACGAUCCCUAGCUGGUCUGAGAGGAUGACCAGCCACACUGGAACUGAGACACGGUCCAGAAUCCUACGGGAGGCAGCAGUGGGGAAUAUUGCACAAUGGGCGCAAGCCUGAUGCAGCCAUGCCGCGUGUAUGAAGAAGGCCUUCGGGUUGUAAAGUACUUUCAGCGGGGAGGCGUUACCCGCAGAAGAAGCACCGGCUAACUCCGUGCCAGCAGCCGCGGUAAUAC
rnacentral:rRNA from 1 species